rnacentral:rRNA from 1 species
UACGAAGGGGGCUAGCGUUGCUCGGAAUUACUGGGCGUAAAGCGCACGUAGGCGGUCUUUUAAGUCGGGGGUGAAAUCCUGGAGCUCAACUUCAGAAUUGCCUUCGAUACUGGCUUUCUAGAGGCUGGAAGAGGUUAGUGGAAUUCCCAGUGUAGAGGUGAAAUUCGUAGAUAUUGGGAAGAACACCAGUGGCGAAGGCGGCUAACUGGUCCAGAUCUGACGCUGAGGUGCGAAAGCGUGGGGAGCAAACAGG